rnacentral:rRNA from 1 species
AGCGAACGCUGGCGGCAGGCCUAACACAUGCAAGUCGAGCGGGCACCGCAAGGUGUCAGCGGCAGACGGGAGAGUAACACGUGGGAACGUGCCCUUCGGUUCGGAAUAACUCGGGGAAACUCGUGCUAAUACCGAAUACGCCCUUACGGGGAAAGAUUUAUCGCCGAUGGAGCGGGCCGCGUCUGAUUAGCUAGUUGGUGAGGUAAUGGCUCACCAAGGCGACGAUCAGUAGCUGGUCUGAGAGGAUGAUCAGCCUCACUGGAACUGAGACACGGCCCAGACUCCUCCGGGAGGCAGCAGUGGGGAAUAUUGGACAAUGGGCGCAAGCCUGAUCCAGCCAUGCCGCGUGGAUGAUGAAGGCCUUAGGGUUGUAAAGUCCUUUUAACGGGGAAGAUAAUGACGGUACCCGUAGAAUAAGCCCCGGCUAACUUCGUGCCAGCCGCCGCCGUAA